rnacentral:rRNA from 1 species
AGAGUUUGAUCAUGGCUCAGGACGAACGCUGGCGGCGUGCCUAACACAUGCAAGUCGAACGAGGUCCAUGAGAGCUUGCUCUCGGAAGACCUAGUGGCGAACGGGUGAGUAACACGUGAGGAAUCUGCCCCGGACUCUGGGAUAACUCGAGGAAACUCGAGCUAAUACCGGAUACCCUCCUCGGGUCGCAUGGCCUGAUGAGGAAAGUUUUUCGGUCUGGGAGGACCUCGCGGCCUAUCAGCUAGUUGGUGAGGUAACGGCUCACCAAGGCUACGACGGGUAGCUGGUUUGAGAGAAUGAUCAGCCACACUGGGACUGAGACACGGCCCAGACUCCUACGGGAGGCAGCAGUGGGGAAUCUUGCGCAAUGGGCGAAAGCCUGACGCAGCAACGCCGCGUGCGGGAUGACGGCCUUCGGGUUGUAAACCGCUUUCAGCAGGGACGAAAAUGACGGUACCUGCAGAAGAAGCUCCGGCUAACUACGUGCCAGCAGCCGCGGUAAUACGUAGGGGGCAAGCGUUGUCCGGAUUUAUUGGGCGUAAAGAGCUCGUAGGCGGUUCCGUAAGUCAGGUGUGAAAAAUCUGGGCUCAACCCAGUGGAGCACCUGAUACUGCGGUGACUCGAGUCCGGUAGGGGAGUGUGGAAUUCCUGGUGUAGCGGUGAAAUGCGCGAUAUCAGGAGGAACACCGACGGCGAAGGCAGCACUCUGGGCCGGUACUGACGCUGAGGAGCGAAAGCAUGGGGAGCGAACAGGAUUAGAUACCCUAGUAGUCC